rnacentral:rRNA from 1 species
CCUACGGGAGGCUGCAGUGGGGAAUAUUGGACAAUGGGGGGAACCCUGAUCCAGCCAUGCCGCGUGUGUGAAGAAGGCCCUCGGGUUGUAAAGCACUUUCAGUGAGGAAGAACGCCUGGUGGUUAAUACCCAUCAGGAAAGACAUCACUCACAGAAGAAGCACCGGCUAACUCCGUGCCAGCAGCCGCGGUAAUACGGAGGGUGCGAGCGUUAAUCGGAAUUACUGGGCGUAAAGCGCGCGUAGGUGGCUUGAUAAGCCGGUUGUGAAAGCCCCGGGCUCAACCUGGGAACGGCAUCCGGAACUGUCAGGCUAGAGUGCAGGAGAGGUAGGUGGAAUUCCCGGUGUAGCGGUGAAAUGCGUAGAGAUCGGGAGGAAUACCAGUGGCGAAGGCGGCCUUCUGGACUGACACUGACGCUGAGGUGCGAAAGCGUGGGUAGCAAACAGGAUUAGAUACCCUGGUAGUC